GACGAACGCUGGCGGCGUGCUUAACACAUGCAAGUCGAACGCAGUGGCGAACGGGUGAGUAACGCGUAAUCAACCUGCCCUUCAGAGGGGGACAACAGGUGGAAACGACUGAUAAUACCGCAUACUGAAGUAGGGGAUUGAGUCUGAUUAGCUAGUUGGAGGGGUAACGGCCCCACAAGGCGAUGAUCAGUAGCCGGACUGAGAGGAGGAACGGCCACAUUUGGACUGAGACACGGCCCAGACUCCUACGGGAGGCAGCAGUUGGGAAGCUUCCGCAAUGGACGAAAGUCUGACGGAGCAACGCCGCGUGAGUGAUGACGGCCUUCGGGUUGUAAAGCUCUGUUAAUCGGGACGCGGUACCGGAAUAGAAAGCCACGGCUAACUACGUGCCAGCAGCCGCGGUAAUAC
rnacentral:rRNA from 1 species